rnacentral:rRNA from 1 species
UACAGAGGUCUCAAGCGUUGUUCGGAUUCAUUGGGCGUAAAGGGUGCGUAGGUGGCGCGCUAAGUCAGGUGUGAAAUUUCGGAGCUUAACUCCGAAACUGCAUUUGAUACUGGCGUGUUUGAGGACUGGAGAGGAGACUGGAAUUCAUGGUGUAGCAGUGAAAUGCGUAGAGAUCAUGAGGAAGACCAGUGGCGAAGGCGGGUCUCUGGACAGUUCCUGACACUGAGGCACGAAGGCCAGGGGAGCAAACGGG